GAUGAACGCUGGCGGCGUGCCUAAUACAUGCAAGUAGAACGCUGAAGGAGGAGCUUGCUCUUCUGGAUGAGUUGCGAACGGGUGAGUAACGCGUAGGUAACCUGCCUGGUAGCGGGGGAUAACUAUUGGAAACGAUAGCUAAUACCGCAUGACAACAGUUAUUGCAUGAUAACUGUUUAAAAGGUGCAACUGCUCCACUACCAGAUGGACCUGCGUUGUAUUAGCUAGUUGGUGAGGUAACGGAUCACCAAGGCGACGAUACGUAGCCGACCGGAGAGGGGGAGUGGCCGGACUGAGAGGGUGACACGGCCCAGAGGCCUACGGGAGGCAGCAGGAGGGCAUCGUGGGCAAGGGGCGGAAGACUGACCGAGAAGCGCCGCGUGAGGGAGGAACGUUUUCGGAUCGGAGAGGUCGGUUGUCGGAGAAGAACGAGUGUGAGCGUGGAAAGUUCACUCUGUGACGGUAUCUUACCAGAAAGGGACGGCUAACUACGUG
rnacentral:rRNA from 1 species